rnacentral:rRNA from 1 species
UCGGGAAUUUUGGGCAAUGGGCGAAAGCCUGACCCAGCAACGCCGCGUGAGGGAUGAAGUAUUUCGGUAUGUAAACCUCGAAAGAAUGGGAAGAAUAAAUGACGGUACCAUUUAUAAGCUCCGGCUAACUACGUGCCAGCAGCCGCGGUAAUACGUAGGGAGCAAGCGUUGUACGGAUUUACUGGGCGUAAAGGGCGCGUAGGCGGCGCGGUAAGUCACUUGUGAAAUCUCUGAGCUUAACUCAGAACGGCCAAGUGAUACUGCUGUGCUAGAGUGCGGAAGAGGCAACCGGAAUUCUUGGUGUAGCGGUGAAAUGCGUAGAUAUCAAGAGGAACACCUGAGGCGAAGGCGGGUUGCUGGGCCGACACUGACGCUGAUGCGCGAAAGCCAGGGGAGCAAACG